UAUUAGGUCGGUGCUAAAGUAAUUGCGGUUUUUGCCAUUACUUUCAAUGGUGAAAACUGCAAUUACUUUCCACCAACCUAAUA
rnacentral:miRNA from 1 species